GAUGAAGAACGUAGCGAAAUGCGAUACUUGGUGUGAAUUGCAGAAUCCCGUGAACCAUCGAGUCUUUGAACGCAAGUUGCGCCAGAAGCCUCUAGGCCGAGGGCACGCCUGCCUGGGCGUCACACGCCGUUGCCCCCCCAUCUACUCCUUCGGGAUUGCGGGGGGGCGGAUGAUGGCCUCCCGUGCGCCUAGCCGCGCGGUUGGCAUAAAUACCAAGUCCUCGGCGACGCACGCCACGACAAUCGGUGGUUGCGAAACCUCGGUUGCCCGUCGUGUGCGUUCGUCGCGCAUCGAGGGCUCGAAAAAAUGCUCGGCUCCGGCUGGGCUUUCAACGCGACCCCAGGUCAGGCGGGGUUACCCGCUGAAUUUAAGCAUAUCAAUAAGCGGAGGA
rnacentral:misc_RNA from 1 species